rnacentral:rRNA from 1 species
AACGAACGCUGGCGGCAUGCCUAACACAUGCAAGUCGAACGAGACCUUCGGGUCUAGUGGCGCACGGGUGCGUAACGCGUGGGAACCUGCCCUUAGGUUCGGAAUAACUCCCCGAAAGGGGUGCUAAUACCGGAUAAUGUCUUCGGACCAAAGAUUUAUCGCCUUUGGAUGGGCCCGCGUUGGAUUAGCUAGUUGGUAGGGUAAAAGCCUACCAAGGCGACGAUCUAUAGCUGGUCUGAGAGGAUGAUCAGCCACACUGGGACUGAGACACGGCCCAGACUCCUACGGGAGGCAGCAGUGGGGAAUAUUGGACAAUGGGCGAAAGCCUGAUCCAGCAAUGCCGCGUGAGUGAUGAAGGCCUUAGGGUUGUAAAGCUCUUUUGCCCGGGAUGAUAAUGACAGUACCGGGAGAAUAAGCUCCGGCUAACUCCGUG